UACGAAGGGGGCUAGCGUUGUUCGGAAUCACUGGGCGUAAAGGGCGCGUAGGCGGCCAUAUAAGUCGGGGGUGAAAGCCUGUGGCUCAACCACAGAAUUGCCUUCGAUACUGUAUGGCUCGAGACCGGAAGAGGUAAGUGGAACUGCGAGUGUAGAGGUGAAAUUCGUAGAUAUUCGCAAGAACACCAGUGGCGAAGGCGGCUUACUGGUCCGGUUCGUGACGC
rnacentral:rRNA from 1 species